ensembl:snRNA U6 U6 spliceosomal RNA
GCCCUGGCUUCUGCAGCACAUAUACUAAGACUGAAACAACACAGAGAAUUUUAGUGCCACUCCUGGGUAAGGAAGACACACAGAUUCACGAAGCGCCCCAUAUUUGG